UGUGUACUCCCUCCGUUCCAAAAUACUUGACUUCCAUUUGUCCAAAAAUGUAUGUACCUAUAUACUAAAACAUGUCUAGAUACAUAUAUAUUUUGACAAAUAGAAGGCAUGUAUUGUGUAACGGAGGGAGUAGAAU
rnacentral:pre_miRNA from 1 species